rnacentral:misc_RNA from 1 species
UGUGGAGACAUCUUCCUUAUCUGCAGUACAGCCGCCUGAGCCCACUUAUGAUCUAAAAAUAAAGGAAGAUUUGGAAACAAAAAAGGCUUUGUCGUGCUUGCAGAUUGAGACGUUGGUGUAUGCUUCCCAGAGACAUCACCAGCAUCUUCCAAAUGGUGCCAGGGCUGGAUUCUUUAUUGGAGAUGGAGCUGGUGUUGGUAAAGGUCGAACAAUUGCGGGGUUGAUAUG